rnacentral:rRNA from 1 species
UACGUAGGGGGCUAGCGUUGCUCGGAAUCACUGGGCGUAAAGGGUGCGUAGGCGGGUUUUUAAGUCAGGGGUGAAAUCCUGGAGCUCAACUCCAGAACUGCCUUUGAUACUGAAGAUCUUGAGUCCGGGAGAGGUGAGUGGAACUGCGAGUGUAGAGGUGAAAUUCGUAGAUAUUCGCAAGAACACCAGUGGCGAAGGCGGCUCACUGGCCCGGUACUGACGCUGAGGUGCGAAAGCGUGGGGAGCAAACAGG